AGCAACUUCAUGCACAAGUUUUACAUUAAUAUAUCCAACAUAUUUGCAUGACCACAUUCAAACUCUCCCUUUUCUUUUCUACCAUUAUUCUCAUUAUCUUGUGCUAAGAAACUUAGAAUUGGUCAAUGAAAGGGAGUGCAUGUUCUUUAAAUCAAGAUGACCAAUCAAACCAAGUGUUGCAAAAUAGAUUAAUACAACGAUUAAACGAGGUUGCAGAAGCUCUUGUACAUCAGAUUUUCAUGUUCUCCAUUAUUAGACAAAAAGGAUAUUAACUUGUACAAUAUAUGAAAGCACCAAAUCUUCUUACUUCUUAACAAAGAAUGGCUGGAACUAGGAUGAAGGGAAUCCUGAGUAGUUUAUGGUUGGAAAGAAACUGUCUCCAUACAGAUUGUGGUAGCAACAUUUUAACCGGAUGCAUCGAGCGUCUGCUAAUAUUUUCGAUAAAAGGUAAGUAUCGUUUGAUUUGUAGUUUCAGUUUAAUUUACUUGAAAAUGUAGUUCUAUGACAUCAAGUGAAGUGUGAUAUUUGUUUGUGUUUCUGAUUUGGGUUAAAUAAUACAAUUUUGUAUGUUUCUAACAUGAGCCUUUUAAUACAAUUCUUGUUAUGCAAAACAUUUAAUAUAGCACUGUAAAUUAUUCAUUAUAACUAGCACUGACAAGAUUGUUUGUGUUUCCAAAGGCGCACCAAACAAAUACCUGGUGGCAUAAAAACUCCCUUCCUCAAAUGAUCCACAUAUACCUGGUGGCAUCACAAGAUUGAUUGUGUUUCCCAUAUGCAUUAUCGUCCCAACUGUGAUAGUUUUGAAAUUUACAAGAGACGGGUUGCAUGAGCAACCAAAAAAAGGGGCUUUGAAAGUUGCCCGAACAUAAGCAACUAUGACUUGGAAUUGGUCAAUCGAAG
rnacentral:lncRNA from 1 species